GUCGACGAUGAAGCCUAGCUUGCUGGGUGGAUUAGUGGCGAACGGGUGAGUAACACGUGAGCAACCUGCCCCUGACUUUGGGAUAACUGCUGGAAACGGUAGCUAAUACUGGAUAUGACUGAUCAUCGCAUGGUGGUUGGUGGAAAGUUUUUCGGUUGGGGAUGGGCUCGCGGCCUAUCAGCUUGUUGGUGGGGUAAUGGCCUACCAAGGCGAUGACGGGUAGCCGGCCUGAGAGGGCGACCGGCCACACUGGGACUGAGACACGGCCCAGACUCCUACGGGAGGCAGCAGUGGGGAAUAUUGCACAAUGGGCGAAAGCCUGAUGCAGCGACGCCGCGUGAGGGAUGACGGCCUUCGGGUUGUAAACCUCUUUCAGUAGGGAAGAAGCGUAAGUGACGGUACCUGCAGAAGAAGCGCCGGCUAACUACGUGCCAGCAGCCGCGGUAAUACGUAGGGCGCAAGCGUUGUCCGGAAUUAUUGGGCGUAAAGAGCUUGUAGGCGGUUUGUCACGUCUGGUGUGAAAACCCACCGCUCAACGGUGGGCUUGCAUCGGGUACGGGCAGGCUAGAGUAUGGUAGGGGAAACUGGAAUUCCUGGUGUAGCGGUGAAAUGCGCAGAUAUCAGGAGGAACACCGAUGGCGAAGGCAGGUUUCUGGGCCAUUACUGACGCUGAGAAGCGAAAGCAUGGGGAGCGAACAGGAUUAGAUACCCUGGUAGUCCAUGCCGUAAACGUUGGGCACUAGGUGUGGGGAACAUUCCACGUUUUCCGCGCCGUAGCUAACGCAUUAAGUGCCCCGCCUGGGGAGUACGGCCGCAAGGCUAAAACUCAAAGGAAUUGA
rnacentral:rRNA from 1 species